GCUAAAAAAGCUAUAGUAGCGCUGAUUUUGUAAGUCAGAGAUUUAAACAUAAACGUUUUUUUAGCU
rnacentral:tRNA from 1 species